UACGUAGGGUGCGAGCGUUAAUCGGAAUUACUGGGCGUAAAGCGUGCGCAGGCGGUUCGUUAAGACAGAUGUGAAAUCCCCGGGCUUAACCUGGGAAUGGCAUUUGGGACUGCAAGGCUGGAGUACGGCAGAGGAGACUGGAAUUCCUGGUGUAGCAGUGAAAUGCGUAGAGAUCAGGAGGAAUACCGAUGGCGAAGGCAGGUCUCUGGGCUGAUACUGACGCUCAUGCACGAAAGCGUGGGGAGCAAACAAGG
rnacentral:rRNA from 1 species